rnacentral:rRNA from 1 species
AUUGAACGCUGGCGGAAUGCUUUACACAUGCAAGUCGAACGGUAGAGGGGGCAACCCCUCGAGAGUGGCGAACGGGUGAGUAAUAUAUCGGAACGUGCCCAGUCGUGGGGGAUAACGUAGCGCAAGUUACGCUAAUACCGCAUACGAUCUAAGGAUGAAAGCGGGGGAUCGCAAGACCUCGCGUGAUUGGAGCGGCCGAUAUCAGAUUAGGUAGUUGGUGGGGUAAAGGCUCACCAAGCCAACGAUCUGUAGCUGGUCUGAGAGGACGACCAGCCACACUGGAACUGAGACACGGUCCAGACUCCUACGGGAGGCAGCAGUGGGGAAUUUUGGACAAUGGACGCAAGUCUGAUCCAGCCAUUCCGCGUGCAGGAUGAAGGCCCUCGGGUUGUAAACUGCUUUUGUACGGAACGAAAAGGUCUCUCUUAAUACGGGGGGCUCAUGACGGUACCGUAAGAAUAAGCACCGGCUAACUACGUGCCAGCCGCCGCCGUAA